rnacentral:lncRNA from 7 species
AUUACCAUAGUUGCAUUAGUAUUCAGGCCUGCUUUCUCUCUUAUUUCUGUCCCAUCGUUCUUGCCUCUGGGCAGAACCAGAUCUGUGCCCUUUUACCCUGCUGUUUCAGGCCUGAAGUUUUCACUGCAAGAUGUUCUCAGGGUUAUGAUAUGACUCUGCCCCACACAGCUGCUUGUUGCUCCUUGCAGGCACAGCCUGUGCAGCCCUGUGCUCCAGCACUGCCCUGAUCCUGCUGUCCAGGUGGCUGCUGAUGCUGGUUUCAGUCUGUUUCUCCAUUUUGAUGGUCCCAAGGCCCGCGGUCUUGCAUGAUAGGUGCAUUUAUAUGUCACUGCAGUAUAAAGCAGUGGUGCCACUUGACAAGGUGAAGUAGAAAUACAAGAGCACUCUUCUUGCUGCUAAAGGCCCAGCUCCAGAUGAGCCCAAUUAACGCAUCCAACUGUGUUUACCUAAGCAGAGAGACUUGCUGCCCUACUAUUUCCCAGGUGAUAAGCCCUGGAGCAUUGCUUACCUCAUUGUAGGUUUUCCUGAAAGUAGCAGGUGUCUUGCAGUUUUUAUUUCUGUAAUGCUGUUAUUGAAAUGCUUUGGUGAGGUCUCAAGUGUUAGAGGAGUUGAGGAGCUGUUUUCAGCUUCAGCCCUCCAGUGGAGGGGAACGUGGAUUCUGUAGUACUUAAACAUUGUGAUUAAAACCAUUUCAGCAGAAUUAAACAAACAGUGACUCCAUGGAAACUCAGUUUCCCAUUUACACCAUCAGGAAAUUCAGAUUUCUAAAGGCAUUUGAAUGAGUCCAGGAUAAGACACUGAAGUGCUUGAUCAGGAGAGUGAUCUCUUCCCACCAAGGCCCUAGCAGACGUGAGUGCCCUGUGCCCCCACCUCUGCCAUGGUCUCACUGAUUAGGAGAAACUUUGACUCAGAUGGAAUAAGUCUUCGCUAAUAAGUUGUGAAUUAAAGAUAAAUUCUUUGAUACGUUCACAUUAACAACAGCAUGAACUUGAUAGAAAUUAGAUCCUACUUAAUAACUUGUAAGUUUUACUAAAGUCUGUUUUCAUAAUAUAGAGUGCUAUAUUGUGCUGAAAACAGAGCAAUUCUCACAAGAACAAGAUCUAUAAAAACAUGUAGAACUACGGAACAUACUUUAACAACUAUUCCUUGUCUUGCUGCUUAGUUACUUAGUUAUGAUGUUAGAUAUGUUCAUAGGCUCACAGAGGAAGCAAAACUAGUGGGAAUCUUCAGUGCUCAUCAGUGGACAAUUCAGUAUCUAAGUAAACAAAUACAUAGUUUUUGUUUAGAAUUUAAGUAUCAAUCUGUCUUGAUUUCUUAUGUACAAUAAAAAAAAUGGCUUAUUCAGGCAGGUGAACUGUCCUUCCAUCAGUAUUCAGGUGAUGCGUGAAAUAAAUUGGAUUUCUAACCAAGAUGCUU